rnacentral:rRNA from 1 species
GACGAACGCUGGCGGCGCACUUAACACAUGCAAGUCGAACGGAAAGGCCUGCUUUCCCUUGUGGAUUGCGGGUACUCGAGUGGCGAACGGGUGAGUAACACGUGAGUGAUCUGCCCCCAACUUGGGUAUAAGCCUGGGAAACUGGGUCUAAUUCCCGAUAGGACUGCAGGGUGGUGCCUGUGGUGGAAAACGAUUUUCUAGUGGUUGGGGAUGGGCUCGCGGCCUAUCAGCUUGUUGGUGGGGUAAUGGCCUACCAAGGCGGGGACGGGUAGCCGGCCUGAGAGGGUGGACGGCCACAUUGGGACUGAGAAACGGGCCAGACGCCUACGGGAGGAAGCAGUGGAGAAUAUUGAAGAAUGGGCGGAAGACUGAAGCAGCGACGACGCGUGGGGGAUGACGGCCUUCGGGUUGUAAACUCCUUUCGACAGCGAGGAAGCCACCUGGUUGGAAGGGUGGUGACGGUAGUGGUAGAAGAAGCACCGGCUAACUACGUG